CCCCGCCUCCCGGCACUGAUGAGCUCGCUAUUGGACGAAUCCACUGAUGAGUCCACACCGCUGCCAUUAUCCAGUCACCUCCGAAAGCCCCACCUCUGAGUGUGGGAAAGUUCUGGAGGCAUUUGAGAUCUAAACAGUAACGUGCUCUUCGAUAACUUCUCCUUGUGCAAACUUCAUGGUGGCUGUCAUGCAGGUAUCAAGGUCCUCUACUCAGCAGGCACUUCAUGGAGCUCCCCAGAUGUGUGAUCCUGUAUCUCAAUUUGACCCUGUUUCCAUCCUUAGUGGGAAGGUGAACUGCAUUCACAUAUGACCCAGCUCUUCCCAAUAGAUAUCUUCCCAAUAGGGUUAAAGUCAUCAUACCACAGUGAUACAUGAAUAUCCAUGUUUACAGAAGCACAUUUUAAAACAGUUAAGUCUUAGAAACAGCCCA
rnacentral:lncRNA from 1 species